AGCAGCCGCGGUAAUUCCAGCUCCAAUAGCGUAUAUUAAAGUUGUUGCAGUUAAAAAGCUCGUAGUUGAAUUUCGGGAUUGACACAUCGGUCGUGCCUUAAGGGGUAUGAACUGGUGUAGUCAAUUUCUCACCUUCUGGAGAACCGCGAUGCCCUUAAUUGGGUGUCGCGGGGAACCAGGACCUUUACUUUGAAAAAUUAGAGUGUUUAAAGCAGGCAUUUUGCUUGAAUACAUUAGCAUGGAAUAAUAAAAUAGGACGGCAUGAUUCUAUUUUGUUGGUUUCUAGGAUCACCGUAAUGAUUAAUAGGGAUAGUUGGGGGCAUUAGUAUUCAAUUGUCAGAGGUGAAAUUCUUGGAUUUAUUGAAGACUAACUACUGCGAAAGCAUUUGCCAAGGAUGUUUUCAUUAAUCAAGAACGAAAGUUAGGGGAUCGAAGACGAUCAGAUACCGUCGUAGUCUUAACCAUAAACUAUGCCGACUAGGAAUCAGACGAUGUUAAUUUUUAAUGACUCGUUGGCACC
rnacentral:misc_RNA from 1 species